AGAGUUUGAUCAUGGCUCAGAUUGAACGCUGGCGGCAUGCCUUACACAUGCAAGUCGAACGGUAACGCGGGGGCAACCCUGGCGACGAGUGGCGAACGGGUGAGUAAUACAUCGGAACAUAUCCAGUAGCGGGGGAUAACCUAUCGAAAGAUGGACUAAUACCGCAUACGAUCUACGGAUGAAAGCAGGGGACCGCAAGGCCUUGCACUAUUGGAGUGGCCGAUGUCGGAUUAGCUAGUUGGUGGGGUAAAAGCUUACCAAGGCGACGAUCCGUAGCUGGUCUGAGAGGACGAUCAGCCACACUGGAACUGAGACACGGUCCAGACUCCUACGGGAGGCAGCAGUGGGGAAUUUUGGACAAUGGGCGCAAGCCUGAUCCAGCCAUGCCGCGUGAGUGAAGAAGGCCUUCGGGUUGUAAAGCUCUUUCGGUGAAGACGAAACGGUUCAUGCUAAUAACGUGAACUAAUGACGGUACUCACAGAAGAAGCACCGGCUAACUACGUGCCAGCAGCCGCGGUAAUACGUAGGGUGCAGGCGUUAAUCGGAAUUACUGGGCGUAAAGCGUGCGCAGGCGGUUUGCUAAGACAGGUGUGAAAUCCCGGGCUUAACCUGGGAAUUGCGCUUGUAACUGGCAAGCUAGAGUGUGGCAGAGGGGGGUGGAAUUCCACGUGUAGCAGUGAAAUGCGUAGAUAUGUGGAGGAACACCGAUGGCGAAGGCAGCCCCCUGGGUUAACACUGACGCUCAUGCACGAAAGCGUGGGGAGCAAACAGGAUUAGAUACCCUGGUAGUCCACGCCCUAAACUAUGUCAACUAGUUGUCGGGGAAGAAAUUCCUUGGUAACGAAGCUAACGCGUGAAGUUGACCGCCUGGGGAGUACGGCCGCAAGGUUAAAACUCAAAGGAAUUGACGGGGACCCGCACAAGCGGUGGAUUAUGUGGAUUAAUUCGAUGCAACGCGAAAAACCUUACCUACCCUUGACAUGCUAGGAAGCCCGCAGAGAUGUGGGUGUGCCCGAAAGGGAACCUAGACACAGGUGCUGCAUGGCUGUCGUCAGCUCGUGUCGUGAGAUGUUGGGUUAAGUCCCGCAACGAGCGCAACCCUUGCCAUUAGUUGCUACAUUCAGUUGGGCACUCUAAUGGGACCGCCGGUGACAAACCGGAGGAAGGUGGGGAUGACGUCAAGUCCUCAUGGCCCUUAUGGGUAGGGCUUCACACGUAAUACAAUGGUCGGUACAGAGGGCUGCCAACCCGCAAGGGGGAGCUAAUCCCAGAAAGCCGAUCGUAGUCCGGAUUGUAGUCUGCAACUCGACUGCAUGAAGCCGGAAUCGCUAGUAAUCGCGGAUCAGCAUGUCGCGGUGAAUACGUUCCCGGGUCUUGUACACACCGCCCGUCACACCAUGGGAGUGGGUUCCACCAGAAGUAGUUAGCCUAACCGCAAGGAGGGCGAUUACCACGGUGAGAUUCAUGACUGGGGUGAAGUCGUAACAAGGUA
rnacentral:rRNA from 1 species